UUAUUACAGCUUAGGAACAUAAUUUGCGC
rnacentral:sRNA from 1 species